GACGAACGCUGGCGGCGUGCCUAAUACAUGCAAGUCGAGCGAGCGGAACUAACAGAUUUACUUCGGUAAUGACGUUAGGAAAGCGAGCGGCGGAUGGGUGAGUAACACGUGGGGAACCUGCCCCAUAGUCUGGGAUACCACUUGGAAACAGGUGCUAAUACCGGAUAAGAAAGCAGAUCGCAUGAUCAGCUUUUAAAAGGCGGCGUAAGCUGUCGCUAUGGGAUGGCCCCGCGGUGCAUUAGCUAGUUGGUAAGGUAAAGGCUUACCAAGGCGAUGAUGCAUAGCCGAGUUGAGAGACUGAUCGGCCACAUUGGGACUGAGACACGGCCCAAACUCCUACGGGAGGCAGCAGUAGGGAAUCUUCCACAAUGGACGCAAGUCUGAUGGAGCAACGCCGCGUGAGUGAAGAAGGUUUUCGGAUCGUAAAGCUCUGUUGUUGGUGAAGAAGGAUAGAGGUAGUAACUGGCCUUUAUUUGACGGUAAUCAACCAGAAAGUCACGGCUAACUACGUGCCAGCAGCCGCGGUAAUACGCAGGUGGCAAGCGUUGUCCGGAUUUAUUGGGCGUAAAGCGAGCGCAGGCGGAAGAAUAAGUCUGAUGUGAAAGCCCUCGGCUUAACCGAGGAACUGCAUCGGAAACUGUUUUUCUUGAGUGCAGAAGAGGAGAGUGGAACUCCAUGUGUAGCGGUGGAAUGCGUAGAUAUAUGGAAGAACACCAGUGGCGAAGGCGGCUCUCUGGUCUGCAACUGACGCUGAGGCUCGAAAGCAUGGGUAGCGAACAGGAUUAGAUACCCUGGUAGUCCAUGCCGUAAACGAUGAGUGCUAAGUGUUGGGAGGUUUCCGCCUCUCAGUGCUGCAGCUAACGCAUUAAGCACUCCGCCUGGGGAGUACGACCGCAAGGUUGAAACUCAAAGGAAUUGACGGGGGCCCGCACAAGCGGUGGAGCAUGUGGUUUAAUUCGAAGCAACGCGAAGAACCUUACCAGGUCUUGACAUCUAGUGUCAUUUGUAGAGAUACAAAGUUCCCUUCGGGGACGCUAAGACAGGUGGUGCAUGGCUGUCGUCAGCUCGUGUCGUGAGAUGUUGGGUUAAGUCCCGCAACGAGCGCAACCCUUGUUAUUAGUUGCCAGCAUUAAGUUGGGCACUCUAAUGAGACUGCCGGUGACAAAGCGGAGGAAGGUGGGGAUGACGUCAAGUCAUCCUGCCCCUUAUGACCUGGGCUACACACGUGCUACAAUGGGCAGUACAACGAGAAGCGAGCCUGCGAAGGCAAGCGAAUCUCUGAAAGCUGUUCUCAGUUCGGACUGCAGUCUGCAACUCGACUGCACGAAGCUGGAAUCGCUAGUAAUCGCGGAUCAGCACGCCGCGGUGAAUACGUUCCCGGGCCUUGUACACACCGCCCGUCACACCAUGGGAGUCUGCAAUGCCCAAAGCCGGUGGCCUAACCUUCGGGAAGGAGCCGUCUAAGGCAGGGCAGAU
rnacentral:rRNA from 1 species